rnacentral:rRNA from 1 species
AGAGUUUGAUCCUGGCUCAGCCUGAACGCUGUCGGCGUGAUUAAGACAUGCAAGUCGUACGCACGUAGCAAUACGUGAGUGGCGCACGGGUGAGUAAUGCAUCGCUAAUGUACCCUGGGGUCUGGGAUAGCCAGUCGAAAGAUUGGGUAAUACCAGAUGAGACCACGAGUAGGCAUCUACUUGUGCUCAAAGGGCAACUGCCCUGGGAUCAGGCGAUGUGGUAUCAGGUAGUUGGUGAGGUAACGGCUCACCAAGCCUUCGACGCCUAGCCGGACUGAGAGGUCGGUCGGCCACAUCGGGACUGAGACACUGCCCGGACUCCUACGGGGGGCUGCAGUAAUGAAUCUUCCGCAAUGCACGAAAGUGUGACGGAGCGACGCCGAGUGAAGGAUGAAGUCUUUCGGGAUGUAAACUUCUAAAACCUGUUAGAAAGUUCUGAUCAGCAGGCUAUAAGUGGCGACUAACUCUGUGCCAGCAGUCGCGGUAAUACAGAGGCCACGAGCGUUAGGCGGAAUCACUGGGCUUAAAGCGUGUGUAGGUGGAUGGGUAAGUACCUUGUGAAAUCCCACGACUCAAUCGUGGAACUGCUUGGUAUACUGCCUGUCUUGAGGUACUCAGGGGCGAGCGGAACAGAUGGUGGAGCGGUGAAAUGCGUAGAUAUCAUCUGGAACGCCAAUGGUGAAGACAGCUCGCUGGGGGUAUUCUGACACUGAGACACGAAAGCCAGGGGAGCAAACGGGAUUAGAUACCCCCGUAGUCC